UGGAAAAAAAAUGAAGAGUAUAAAGAAUAUCAUCCUAAAGUCCUUGUUUUGCAAGCAGAUUUUGCUACACAGUUGAAAUUGACCAUUAUCAUGGCAGAGAAGGCUAACUCUUCUUUAUAACUGUUAUGAAAAUAUUUAAACACUAAAAAAAUCAUUUGGAAAAGAAUAACACUAAGUCGGGGUGUGGCAGAGAAUGAGAAGACAGCAGAGGGGAGGAACAAGGCAAGAACGAAGCAAUCUUGGGUGCAGAAAAGGCUUGGUGAAUAUGAGGGCGAAGUCACAGGCCCUAUUAGGAGUAAUCUCAACAUCCGCCUGAAGGGAAUUUCGUGGGCUGUGGACCCCAACUCCCGGGACCCAUGUGCCUGGACUGCGGGAAUCUGAUCUAGGCCAGAUCCCCUCUCCCUGGAGCAGGCGGGUCAGCACAGAGAGAGAGCAGCUCAUCCCUUAGAGAGGACCACUGAUGGGAGCUCAGCCCUUAGGGAGGACCACGGAUGGGGAGGCGGCCCUGGCUCCUCCCAGUUGGCAAGUCCUGAUUUGCUCACUGCUGUGAUCCAGCUGUGACUCUGGGUUCAGUCCAUCUCUCCCCUCACAAUCCUUCAGGGAUUCUUCUCGUAAAGGUGAGAUUUGGCUGUUCUGGCCUUCCACAUAAGUGGGGACAUGCAGCAUGCACUGUUUCUGGUGUAAGGCCUCUUCUAAUUAGUAAGAUGCUGUUUCGAUUCAUCUCUAUUGUUGCCCAUUAUCAGGGAUUCUUUCCUGGAUAGCUGAGUAGUAUGAAUACUUCACAAUUUGUUUUUCUAUUCUCUUACGGAUUGGCACCAGAGGUAUUUCCCGGGUAGGUGAAUGUUUAGUUUUAUGAGAAACUGUGACUGUCUUUCAUAGCAGCGGCACCAUUUUAUCUUCUCACUAGAAGCAAGAAGCCUUCCAGGUGCUCCCCAUCCCAGCGAGCAUUUGGAGCUGUCAGACUUGCGAUCUUCACCCUUUCUGGUGGUUGCAUAAUGGUCUCUCUCACUGUGGUUCAAUUUUAAUUUCCCUGAUGGCUAAUGGUGUUGAACAUUUUUUAAAGGGCUUAGUGAACAUUUGUGAAUCGCUUUUUGGAAAGGGAUUGUUUAAAUGUUUUGCCCAUUUUUUAUUGGGUGGUUGGUCAUAUUAUUAUUAUUGUUAUUAUUCUUAUUACUAUUUAUCCUAACGGGAAAAAGAGAUUCAGCAGGAACAGCAAAAGGAGAGUUAGAAUUUGGGCAUCUCGUUUCAUGAUCAAUAUCUCGUGCAGGGAUGGGUAUAGGGGCAGACAGGGUUGGGGGCCUGGCAGGCAGGUCAGCCAAGUCAGUGUCCAGUAAUAAGGCAGGAGCUGGGAUGUGCAAGGUGCAAGUGGCAGGGGUCUCUGCAGUGCUGCAGCAGGCAGGAAGGAAGAACAGGCAGGCUGAUUGGCACUGCAGUCUGAAGUGGCCUCAGUUUUAUCCUCCAACACCUCGUGGUUCCGUUGGAGCUCAGCUUUCUCCUCCAAGCCUAGGUCCUCACCAAUGACUACGCAAGGAACCCAGGAGAUGGAGGCAGCUUUUCUCCUCCCAAAACACUAGCAGUGGCGGCAGCAAGGGGCGCAGACAUUUUCGUUUACAGAGCCUACAACUGGCAGAUGGCUUCGGAAAGUUCCUUCUUGACGGAGUAUCUGAAGCUUUGUUCCCUGUGUCCCCUCUGACUUCAGUGAGGCUGGAGAGCUGGGUGGAUGGCCUUCGUCCAGCUUUUGCUUUGUCCACCUCUUUGGCAGCAGGGGUAGGUUGAGAAUGGGCCACACAGCCCCCUACAUUCAGGUCAGUCCUCCACAGAGAGGGGCGGCCUCCAGGAGGGCUUUAAGAGCUGGGGAUGACAUGGCCUUUGGUGAAUGUGUAACAGCUAGAUCUUAAGUCAGCAUGAGGGCAGCCAGCUUAGGGAAAGGAAGCAAUAUUGAAUUACAGCCCUGCCUCACUAGUCUCUGUGAAUAUGUUCUCGCCUGCAUGUAGCCUAGGUGAUUAAGCACCUCUCACUUUUGCAGAAUACAUGAUCUGAUAGUUCUAUGACUCUUGCUUAUGUCUAUUUCCCAGCCGUGGUAAGACAAUAACUGUUCUCUGAGUUCCUCAGGAACAUGACGACUUCCAGGAAGAAAAAUCCUGCAUUGGUACCCAUCACAAAUGACAGAAGAAAGAAAGAAUGUGGCGCCUUGAAGUUCGUCACACGGGAUGGUCAACACCCACAAACCCCCUCCUUCACUGUCGGUUUCCCCUAUAUAACUGCCUCAAGAUUCUGUAUGAUUUGAGCAUGCUUCUUCAGGACACCAGUCCACCAUCUUCCGAUUAUGCUUAGCUAAUCAGAUAAAUUCUUUCCUCAACCACUGGCUUAUUUGCAAUUGAUUGGCACCAGGCUGCAUCGAGCAGGAGCCCCUUUUUGCUCGGUUAUAAAUGGGCUCAGAAGAUGUUUUCACUUUCUUAUUCAAGGUGUCUCCUGGGAGCUGGGAAUGGAGGUUUCCCUUGGAGGCCCAGGACUGCGCCGGAAGGAAGUGAGGGCCGCACCACCCCUGCGGGGUCCAGGGCCCUACCUGCUGAAGGCCCCCUCUCACUGCUAUGGGGGCCAGCGAGGAGCACUUCUCUGACGGUCCAUCCUGUGCUAUUUUUCUCCUCUUCUCUGCUCUUCCUUUUGUAGGAUCUUCAGGUGUGUCCCCUUUAGGCAAAGAUCUAGUGGCGACGGGAUGGCCCAGGCCUCGGAGAGGAGGCUGCCUGCUCAAGCGCCAAACGGAAGAGAGUCAUUUUGCAUCCUGGAGGAGGAAUUGUGCCCGUUCCUGAGGAGAGGAGCAACUUGGAAGAGCAAGCAGACAGCAAUGGCUUCUGAGACCCGAAGGUCAGACACACACACACCGCACCAAGGCAAGGACUCACAGAGAGGAGCACUGGGCCUGCCAGACCAGACCUUAGCUUAGCCUCUUAGCCGCAGUGUAAAAUAGGGGCGAUAAGGACCCGCGACUGCAGUAAACAGCCCGAACCAGGCCGGGAGGGUUAUUUAGACCAGACAGGAACGGAGCGGGGCGGGCGGGUGCGAGGCUUGUUGAGGAACGUGCCCCCGAGGAGCAGUUUGCGCGCUGUGGGAUCCUUGGAGAGGACUGGGACCCUCGGGGAGGUCUCCUGGCUGCCAGCUCUCCGCGCUAGGCACACACCGUCCAGCCGGCUGUGGGACCAACAAUUGUCAGCAUACACCAUCAGGCCUUUCUCUUCUAAUUGAGCCUUGAGGCCAACCGCACUGUCUGUGAUGCACAGCAGGGGACUUAGCACCAUGGGCACCUACAACGAGCACACGCACUGCCUACUAGCAGGUCUGGAUUGGUUCAACUCCUAAGGCACCCACAGGCCACGCUGGGCUCCGGUAUCCUCGGAAUCUUCUGGGAGCUCUGGAAAGGAGGACACAGCACCAAUUGUCAGCAUCACCCCUUCAGGCAUUUCUUCACUAAGGGAGCCAUGCAGCAAACCACACAGCUGUCUGUGAGCUUUCUUCCCCCAGGUGCAGGAUCCACCCUGGCUGAAAAGUCUUAUGUCCCAAGGACACCAGCGUAUGUUGUAAUAAUUCCAUGGAUCCACUUUAAGGACCCUGAUCGAAAUUAACAACUUUCCAAUCUUAAAUUUUCCAUUCCAUCAAAAUGGUACAUAUUUCCUUAUAUUUAGGACUUUCAGAUUUUCUCUCAGAAAACACUUUGCUGUAGGGAUUGACAAUUAACAGCCCAUGGGCCAAGAUUGUGCCGCAGCCUGUUUUUGUAAAGCCAAUGAGCUGAGGAUGGUGUUAACAACUAUUAAAGUUUGUUAAAAAAAAAAAAAAAAGAAAGAAAAGGAAAAAGAAGAAAAAGAAAAAUGGAGAAUAUGCAACAAGACCAUAUGUAACCUGCAAAGUCUGUGUUAUUUAUUAUCUGGCCCUUUACAGAAAAAUUUGCCAACACCUCUUUUGUAGUUGUAGUGGUGUUAGACAACACUUGCUAAUCUAUUCCUAAAUUUCUUCUAUGCUAUCACAAAUGGUACCUUUUAAAUUUUAGUUUUCAAUUAUUCAUUGGUAGAAAAUACAACUGAUUUUUAUAUGUUAACCUUGUAUGCUGGAUUUUGUCAUUUUUGUAGUGAAGUGUUUAAGCACACUUUAUAUAAAGAUAUUUCUAACAAUCUAUUUUCAAGAUUCAUUCAGCAAGUGUUAUUUUAGUGAAUGGAAGUAAUACCCAUUCUGUAGAACUUGUAGUAAUUAUUUCUAGUAUUUUCUUUGUAGAUUCCUUAGGAUUUUCUAAACACACAAUCAUGUUUUCAACGAAUAAAGAUAGUUUUACUUCCUUUUUAUUCUGUGGCCUUUUAUUUAUUUUUUAUACCUUUAUAGUUGCUAUAAUUACAGUAAAAUGUUGAGAAAAGGUAGAGCUAAUAGGCAUCUUUUUCCCACUCCUGAUCUUAAGGGAAAAGUGUUCAGCAAGCGAUUAAAUGAAGGUUUGUUGCACUUUAUCACUUGAAGGAAGUUUCCUCUAAUUACUAUUUUGCUGAAAGGGAUUUUCUAUUUCCUCUAAUUACUAUUUUUUGAAAGGGAUGUUCAAUUUUGUCAAUUACUUUGCCCACAGUUUUAAGAUAAUCACAUGGCUUUUCUCCUUUAUUUUCUAAAUGUGAUGAAUUACUUUGACUGCUUUCUGAGUGUUAAACCAAACUUGCAUGCUUGGCACAAAUCCCAUUGGUACUCCUAGAUCAUCAUUUUAUAUUUGGUUGGAUUAGAUUUCCUAAAAUGUAGUUAAAGAUUUUUUAUCUCUGUGUUCAUGAGGGAUAUUGAACUGUGAAUUUCUUUGUCAUUAGGUUUGGUAUUAGGAUAAUACUGGCCUAGAAGAAUGAGUUAGGAAAAAUUUCCUCCAUCUCUACUCUCUGAAAGAUUUUAUAUAACACUAGUAAAAUAUUGUCCUUACAAGUCUGAUAGAAUUCACCAGGAAAACCAUCUGGAUCUUUAGUUUUCAUCAUGGAAAGGAGUUUAGAGUCACUUGGCCACUUGUUGUCCUUUUAAUAUCUGUCAGAUCUGUAGUGAUGCACCCCUCUUUAUUCCUGAUGUUGGCCAUUUGAUUUUUUCCUUUCUAUUUCUUGAUAUAACUUGCUAGAGGUUUAUCAGUUUUAUUAAUCUUUUAAAAAUCCACAUUUAGCUUUGUUAAUUUUCUCUAAUACACAUUUUCUAUUUCUACUCUUCUACUAUUUCUUUAUCUCUCCUGACUUUGGUUUUAAUUUACUCUCCUAUUUCUCUAAUCUUAGGAUGGAAAACUAAAUCUUUGUUUUAAAAUCUUAUCUUUUGAUACAAGCACUUAACUCUGUAACAUUCUCUUAAGUACUGCUUGAGCUACAUCUCAAAAAUUUUGAUUUGCUGUGUUUUAGUUAUCAUUAAAUUCAAAAUGUUUUCUAAUUUUCCCAAUUUCUUCUUUGACCCAUUGGUUAAAUAGAAGUUUGUUUUAUUUACGCAUAUUUGAAUAUUUUCUAGAUAUCUUACUGGUUUUGAUUUCUACUUUAAUUCUAUUGCUGUCAGGUAAAAAUACUCUGCAUGAUUUCUCUCUCUUAAAAUUUGCCAAGACAUUUUUUUUUUUUUGCCCAGUAUAUGCUUAUCUUCAUGAACAUUCCACGUACAGUUGAAAAAGAAUAUGUAUUCAGUUAUUUUUGUGUACAAUAUUUUAUAAUAUUUGCUAUUUUAUUUAUUUUAUAAUUGCCAAUUAAAUGAAGAUAAAUCUUCUAUGCUCUUACUUGUUUUUGUCUACCUGUUCUAAUAAAUAUUGUGAGAGGGUUGUUAAAAUCUCAAACUAUUAUUGUAAUCUGUCUACUUUAGUUUGGACAGUUUUUGCCUUAUAUAUUUUGAAAUUCUGAUAUUAAGUGCAUAAACAUUUAAGAUAUUUUUAUCUUCCUAGUGAAUUGACCCUUUUGUCAUUAGAACACGUCCCUCUGUAUAGCCAGUAACAAUCCUUGUCUUGAAAUCUGAUUUGACUGAUGUUAAUUUAGCCCCAUCGUAUCUGUUAUUCUUAGAAUGACCAGCAUCCCAGGUUGCCAGGAAAUGUCCCGCUUUCAGCCCUGUAGUCCCACAUCCUGGAAAAACUCCCAAUUCCUGGCAAAAUGGGAACGUUAGUCACCGUUGUUAUCCUAGUGUUCGCAUGGUAUAUCUUGUUACAUCAUUUUGUUUUCAACCUCAUAUAAAACAAAUAUAGUUGGGUCUUGCUUUUGCUCAUCCAGUUAAGGAAACUCUGCCUUUUAAAUGGCGUGGUUGGUCCAAUUAUAUUUAAUGUGAUUACUUAUUUGGUUGCAUUCAAAUCUGCUAUCUAUGUAGUGUAGAAUAAUUCCAGGUGCUUCACAUCCUUGCUGACAUUUGCAAUGGCAGAUUUUUUCAAAUUUAUUCUGGUGACGUGUAGUGGUAUCUCACUGUGGUUUUUUUAUUUCCCUCGUUACUAACAAUGCUGAGCACUUUUCGUGUACUUAUUGGACAUUAGUGAAUAUUUUUUGGUAAGGGAUUGAUAACAUUUACUUUCUAGGGUUGCUUUAAGAGAUUUUGAACAUUGCAUAAAGCAUAAUGUUAGUACACAAUAAAUGCCAAG
rnacentral:lncRNA from 1 species